rnacentral:tRNA from 1 species
CGGGGUGUCGCAUAGCAGCAAUUGCAGCGGACUGUAAAUCCGCCGCCUUCGGGCUACGUUGGUGCGAGUCCAACCACCCCGACCA